rnacentral:tRNA from 1 species
UCUGAAAUAGCUCAGUUGAUGGAGCAUCAGACUAUAAAUCUAUAAAGGUCCUUGAUUCGAUCCCGGGUUCCGGCA